UAUAACAUUGACCUCAGAGAAGAACAUGGGUGAUUGAUGGGUUACGAAAUGAGAAUUUUAACGAGGAAUAAAUGUGUCUGAGGUUGCAUGUGCACACUAAGUGCUCUGUGGUUCACAAGAGUGGCGAACAGUCCUGCGAGCCCCUGUUGCACUUCCACAGUCUGUCAGCAUCAUGGGCACAAAGUCAAGCUAAAGAGACACACAUGGCGCACCGCUGGAUGUGUGUGUGUUAAGGAACAGGGCCUUUUUUCCCUGUGAGUGGAGGCCAUUUUGUAAUGUUCUUCUUGAAGUGUUGUUAAUGAAGUGGGAGCACCAUCAUUGUUCCAGUGGAGAGGAUAUAUGGCAAGUGUUUGCUCUAAAAGCUCUGAUGGAGGAAAACAAAGAUGACAUGGUCAAGCUGUUAUCCUGCCACCCAAACUCCAUUUUUAAAAACAAUUUUGCUGGUCUAAGUGACCUGUUAAUAAAGUGGUGUGUACAGUGUU